rnacentral:misc_RNA from 1 species
CGUAGGUGAACCUGCGGAAGGAUCAUUCAUAAUAAAGUGUUUUAUGGCACUUUCUAAAAAUCCAUAUCCACCUUGUGUGCAAUGUUGGAUCUCGUCAAUCUUGGCGAGAUUUUUAUACAUCAACUCAUUCUUUAACUAAUUUGUCUGAAAAAUAUUAUGAAUACUUAAUUCAAAAUACAACUUUCAACAACGGAUCUCUUGGCUCUC